AAGUCGUAACAAGGUCUCCGUUGGUGAACCAGCGGAGGGAUCAUUACCGAGUUUACAACUCCCAAACCCCUGUGAACAUACCACUUGUUGCCUCGGCGGAUCAGCCCGCUCCCGGUAAAACGGGACGGCCCGCCAGAGGACCCCUAAAACUCUGUUUCUAUAUGUAACUUCUGAGUAAAACCAUAAAUAAAUCAAAACUUUCAACAACGGAUCUCUUGGUUCUG
rnacentral:misc_RNA from 1 species